rnacentral:ncRNA from 1 species
CUGUCAAAAAGGCAUACCCACCGAAAGGUGGUGACGCAAAGCAUCGAGGCUACCGGCGCAGCACCAGCGCCCAGGCCGGUCGAGCUGCCAAC